rnacentral:hammerhead_ribozyme from 1 species
GCAUUGCUGAAGAGUCCCACAAUAGAACGAAACGCCCGUCCAGUGU